CCAGCCCCACAGAAAGUCUAGAGUUCCUUCCCAAUGAAUCCCACACCCGACCCCAGGCAACCACUGUACCCACUUCUCUCACACUAGCAACCAGAAACCUCGUAAUUCUUCAUCUACGUGUCUGUCUCUACCACUGGACCCUGAGCUCCCCGAGGACAAAGACUUCAUUGUCCACAUCCGCAUCCUCAGGAGCUAGUGCAGGGCCUGGCUUAGAAAAAUCUUACGAUUGCUGCCCAUUCAUUGGACUCCAAAAUAGAAAGCAUCCCAUGUGAAGAGCGCCUCAUUCCUACUCCAACCAAAGCAACUGUACUUUUUAAUAUAUUGGACUUCCAAGUAGCUUCCCUCUGAAACCAGAUUCUCUGGUUUAAAAAAGUGCAAAAGAGUUUGAAAAAGCACUGUCUACUCCCAGGCUCCAUGCCCAACGUGGGGCUUGAACUCACAACUCGGAGAUCAAGAGUCACAU